CCUACGGGAGGCAGCAGUGGGGAAUAUUGCACAAUGGGGGAAACCCUGAUGCAGCGACGCAGCGUGAGGGAGGAAUUAUUUAGGGAUGGAAAGCUCUAUCAGCAGGGAAGAAAAUGAAGGUACCUGACUAAGAAGCCCUGGCUAACUACGUGCCAGCAGCCGCAGUAAUACGUAGGGGGCAAGCGUUAUCCGGAUUUACCGGGUGUAAAGGGGGCGUAGACGGAAUAGCAAGUCUGAUGAGAAAACUCGGGGCUCAACUCCGGGAUGGCAUUGGAAACCGGUGAUCUAGAGUGUCGGAGAGGCAAGCGGAAUUCCUAGUGUAGCGGUGAAAUGCUUAGAUAUCAGGAGGAACACCAGUUGCGAAGGCGGCUUGCUGGACGAUGACUGACAUUGAGGCUCGAAAGCGUGGGUAGCAAACAGGAUUAGAUACCCCUGUAGUC
rnacentral:rRNA from 1 species